rnacentral:rRNA from 1 species
GUUCUCCGCAUCAGAACCUCCAUCUCGGUUGGCUCUGGGACUUCCAGCAUGUUUUGGUUCGACCGAUGGGCUGGGGACUGCCCAUUCGCUGCCAGGUUCCCGAAUCUGUUCUCCAUUGUGGUGGAGCCUAGGAUAUAUGUCGAGUCGGCCCUUAUUGACUUAGGGUGUCCUGCGUUUUGGCGGCCAUUUGGGCCCCCGGAAAUAGCCUCCUGGCAUGAGCUCUUGGAGGCCGUUGCCCUCCACGAGCCUGAUUUGUCGCAGCCUCAUGACCGCCUAUCCUAGCGCCUCGAGCCCUCGGGCCGGUUCUCCAUGAAGUCCCUAUACUAGGCCAUCGCUCCUCCGCUGGACCGGCGGCCCUUGAUGAUCUGGGCUAUCCGUGUGCCCCUCAAGAUCAGGAUCUUCAUGUGGCAAUGGAUCCGCGGCCGACUCCCCUUCGGCGUUGAGGUGUUAAAACAGAAUGGCCCGGGCGAUGGGAUGUGUCCCCUCUGCGGGAGGAGGAAACCUUGA